rnacentral:rRNA from 1 species
UACGUAGGGCGCGAGCGUUGUCCGGAUUUAUUGGGCGUAAAGAGCUCGUAGGCGGCUUGUCGCGUCGACUGUGAAAACUCGGGGCUCAACUCCGAGCUUGCAGUCGAUACGGGCAGGCUAGAGUUCGGUAGGGGAGAGUGGAAUUCCUGGUGUAGCGGUGAAAUGCGCAGAUAUCAGGAGGAACACCGGUGGCGAAGGCGGUGGUCUGGGCCGGCACUGACGCUGAGGAGCGAAAGCGUGGGUAGCAAACAGG